rnacentral:rRNA from 1 species
AUACGAAUGGAGCAAGCGUUGUUCGGAAUCACUGGGCUUAAAGCGUGCGCAGGCGGACUUGAAAGUCGGGAGUGAAAUCCCAGGGCUCAACCCUGGAACUGCUUCCGAAACUCCAAGUCUAGAAUCCGAUAGAGGUUAGGGGAAUUCCUAGUGUAGAGGUGAAAUUCGCAGAUAUUAGGAGGAACACCAGUGGCGUAGGCGCCUAACUGGGUCGGUAUUGACGCUCAUGUACGAAAGCGUGGGGAGCAAACAGGAUUAGAUACCCUGGUAGUCCACGCCGUAAACGAUGUGUGCUAGUUGUUGGAGUCUUAAGGCUUCAGUGACGCAGAG